UAAAACAAUUAAAUUGCCUAACACAUGUGAAAAAUAAUAAUAUAUUUAAAAAUAUUAUAUAUAAAAUCCGAUUGAACCGUAUUGAAUAAUAAAUUUUGCUGUUAUUUCCAUAAUUAACCUAAACUCUAAAAAUCUAGACCUUAGAACUAAUCCUUAAGCCAUUUUGCUUAACCCCUAAUAUUAAAUCUUAACCCUAAACCCUAAUUAUAACUAUAAUCAUAAUCAUAAUCAUCAUUUGGACUAUGAGUAUUGCUCUACACUUGCCUUAAAAAGGGAUCUUGUGUAUCAGAAAGUGUAAAUAAUGAGGAUAUUUCUUAUAUAACCUACUUUAAAAUGAUGUAUAUAUGAGGAAUGUUGUGAAUUUAUAAUAUAUUUCAUUUGUGGGCACCAAUGAUAAUUUUAUGUAUAAGUCAAGGUACAAUGUCAUCUAACAUAUCCUUCAUUAUUCAUUGGGAGGUACAACAACCUUUGGGUUGUCGGGUUUUGGAUACGAUGUCGCAAGUCGGACCUCGAUGUCGUAACAUCAACGGCCAACUUUUAAUGAGAUGCUUGCUAAGAUAAAGUUUGCCAUCAGUAUAAGAACAAAUGAGAAAAUUGCUCACAUUUUUUAUAAGAAUCAAGUAUUUGGGCAAGGAGUAAUGUACUGGUCUUCGUUACUUAUCAGAGAUGAUGACAAUGUUGAAGUGAUCAUAAACAAUCUUCAUAGUUUUCAAGGUUAUAGACAUGCUGAACUAUAUGUAGAGGUUGAGAUAUUGACCAAUAAAUCACUUAAUUUAAUGCAUAGCCCUGAGACUCAAAUUGGCAUGGGAUUUGGUGAUAUGUUGGAUGAUGAUGUUGGGACUUCAAUGCAAUACACCCAAUUUCCUAUGGAGGACUACCAUCAUCAGC
rnacentral:lncRNA from 1 species